rnacentral:rRNA from 1 species
UGGGGAAUUUUGGACAAUGGGCGAAAGCCUGAUCCAGCAAUGCCGCGUGUGUGAAGAAGGCCUUCGGGUUGUAAAGCACUUUUGUCCGGAAAGAAAUCCUUGGCUCUAAUACAGUCGGGGGAUGACGGUACCGGAAGAAUAAGCACCGGCUAACUACGUGCCAGCAGCCGCGGUAAUACGUAGGGUGCAAGCGUUAAUCGGAAUUACUGGGCGUAAAGUGUGCGCAGGCGGUUUGCUAAGACCGAUGUGAAAUCCCCGGGCUCAACCUGGGAACUGCAUUGGUGACUGGCAGGCUAGAGUAUGGCAGAGGGGGUAGAAUUCCACGUGUAGCAGUGAAAUGCGUAGAGAUGUGGAGGAAUACCGAUGGUGAAGGCAGCCCCCUGGGCCAAUACUGACGCUCAUGCACGAAAGCGUGGGGAGCAAACAGGAUUAGAUACCCUGGUAGUCCACGCCCUAAAACGAUGUCAACUAGUUGUUGGGGAUUCAUUUCCUUAGUAACGUAGCUAACGCGUGAAGUUGACCGCCUGGGGAGUACGGUCGCAAGAUUAAAAACUUAAAUGAAUUGACGGGGUCAUAGCUGUUUCCU